UUUUAAGAAUCUCAGAGUCCUGCAAGGAAUCCAGAUUGUUUUAGCAUCUUGUUGGGCCAGAAAACGCCAGAGAAUCAGCAAUGGUUGGAAUAACCAUUUCCCCAAAAACAGAGAUAACCAUGAAAUGGGGAUAGAUUCAAACCUGGCUAAAACCAAACAACGCUGUGUUGAUUUUUGUAUUUUUAUUUGCACUUCUGAUGCAGUUUUUAACGAUGCAUCUUAGGAGUCAAGGAAACCCCAAAUCUUAAACAGACAAGGAACAAGUCUCUCUUAUACAGAUAAUCCUCAUUUAACAAUCUGUUGCAUUUAUGACAAUGAUGGGGAAAAAACCCCGACUUUGUGACCGAUCCUCGGAUUUACAACUUUGGCAGAUCUGUAAAGCAAAGGCAAACUGAACUAAGAUCCUAAGCAGAGUCGUGUUUUCACUUAACAAUGGCUUAGCUUCACAAUCUAAUUGUUGGUUCUAGUUGUGGUCAUACAAUGUGGACUCCCUAUAUUAUGAAGCAGUCUAUUAUUGUAUUCUUUCAUUAUUUUUGUGGUUGUUUUCCUUUGGUUGGUUUUCAAUCGAUUUGCUUGCCUCCCAGCUGGUUGCUAUGGAAGCCAGUUUAACAAACAAACCUAAUAACCUUCUGGCCUUUUUCUCUAUCAAACAACGAUCGUUCACAUUAUUUGAAACUUAAAGGAAAACUGAAGGCCUUGUUUGAGAUUUUUUUUUUUGCACAACUGUGCACUGCGUGAAACAAACUACGUGUGCCUUAUUAAGGAAGGCACCCUACAGGAAGGAUAAAUUGGCACAGAGACGUAGAAAUACACAAAGGAUUCUUACAUUUGAAAAAAGAAAAUACAGAGUUUCUGAGUGAUGACAGCUUCAAAAGUGGAUUGUUACUGAGCUCCCUCUGCUGGAAGAAAUAUCUCCAAGCUGUGGCUGCCCUUGGAGAAGUACAGAGGAAAGAGAAGGCAAUACACUAUGUCAAGGAACGUGUUUGAAAUAGCAGCUGUGAGCUUGAUACCAUUCUCCCAAACUGAAUCUUGAGUUUUAUUUUAGCUAAGGAGACCAAAAAGCUGAAAACUGUCCACAGAAAUAGAUCUUUUCAUAAGGGC